UACGUAGGGUGCAAGCGUUGUCCGGAAUUAUUGGGCGUAAAGAGCUCGUAGGCGGUCUGUUGCGUCGGCUGUGAAAACCCGGGGCUCAACCCCGGGCCUGCAGCCGAUACGGGCAGACUAGAGUUCGGCAGGGGAGACUGGAAUUCCUGGUGUAGCGGUGAAAUGCGCAGAUAUCAGGAGGAACACCGGUGGCGAAGGCGGGUCUCUGGGCCACUACUGACGCUGAGACUCGAAAGCAUGGGGAGCAAACAGG
rnacentral:rRNA from 1 species